rnacentral:rRNA from 1 species
ACGAACGCUGGCGGCGUGCCUAAUACAUGCAAGUCGAACGAACCGCGACUAAGUGCUUGCACUAAGUCAAGGUGAGUGGCGAACGGGUGAGUAACACGUGGGUAACCUACCUCAUAGUGGGGGAUAACAGUCGGAAACGACUGCUAAUACCGCAUAGGACAUAGGAUCACAUGAUCCAGUGAGGAAAGGUGGCGCAAGCUAUCGCUAAGAGAUGGACCCGCGGUGCAUUAGCUAGUUGGUAGGGUAAAGGCCUACCAAGGCGAUGAUGCAUAGCCGACCUGAGAGGGUGAUCGGCCACAUUGGGACUGGGACACGGCCCAAACUCCUACGGGAGGCAGCAGUAGGGAAUCUUCCGCAAUGGACGCAAGUCUGACGGAGCAACGCCGCGUGAGUGAAGAAGGUCUUCGGAUCGUAAAGCUCUGUUGUUAGAGAAGAACAGCGCAUAGAGUAACUGCUAUGCGUGUGACGGUACCUAACCAGAAAGCCACGGCUAACUACGUG